rnacentral:tRNA from 1 species
GGCGGGCUGGCCGAGGCCCGCGACGGGCUGCUGACGCCGGUCCGGGAGGCGUUCGCCCGGCGGGUCACCUUCCACCGCACCCCC